UUUUCAUCAGACAAUCUGUGUGAGCACUGCANNNNNNNNNNNNNNNNNNNNUUCUUUAAGGUAAGGAGGUGAUCCAACCGCAGGUUCCCCUACGGUUACCUUGUUACGACUUCACCCCAGUCAUGAAUCACAAAGUGGUAAGCGCCCUCCCGAAGGUUAAGCUACCUACUUCUUUUGCAACCCACUCCCAUGGUGUGACGGGCGGUGUGUACAAGGCCCGGGAACGUAUUCACCGUGGCAUUCUGAUCCACGAUUACUAGCGAUUCCGACUUCAUGGAGUCGAGUUGCAGACUCCAAUCCGGACUACGACGCACUUUAUGAGGUCCGCUUGCUCUCGCGAGGUCGCUUCUCUUUGUAUGCGCCAUUGUAGCACGUGUGUAGCCCUGGUCGUAAGGGCCAUGAUGACUUGACGUCANNNNNNNNNNNNNNNNNNNNUGGUCGUAAGGGCCAUGAUGACUUGACGUCAUCCCCACCUUCCUCCAGUUUAUCACUGGCAGUCUCCUUUGAGUUCCCGGCCGGACCGCUGGCAACAAAGGAUAAGGGUUGCGCUCGUUGCGGGACUUAACCCAACAUUUCACAACACGAGCUGACGACAGCCAUGCAGCACCUGUCUCACGGUUCCCGAAGGCACAUUCUCAUCUCUGAAAACUUCCGUGGAUGUCAAGACCAGGUAAGGUUCUUCGCGUUGCAUCGAAUUAAACCACAUGCUCCACCGCUUGUGCGGGCCCCCGUCAAUUCAUUUGAGUUUUAACCUUGCGGCCGUACUCCCCAGGCGGUCUACUUAACGCGUUAGCUCCGGAAGCCACGCCUCAAGGGCACAACCUCCAAGUAGACAUCGUUUACGGCGUGGACUACCAGGGUAUCUAAUCCUGUUUGCUCCCCACGCUUUCGCACCUGAGCGUCAGUCUUUGUCCAGGGGGCCGCCUUCGCCACCGGUAUUCCUCCAGAUCUCUACGCAUUUCACCGCUACACCUGGAAUUCUACCCCCCUCUACAAGACUCAAGCCUGCCAGUUUCGAAUGCAGUUCCCAGGUUGAGCCCGGGGAUUUCACAUCCGACUUGACAGACCGCCUGCGUGCGCUUUACGCCCAGUAAUUCCGAUUAACGCUUGCACCCUCCGUAUUACCGCGGCUGCUGGCACGGAGUUAGCCGGUGCUUCUUCUGCGGGUAACGUCAAUUGCUGCGGUUAUUAACCACAACACCUUCCUCCCCGCUGAAAGUACUUUACAACCCGAAGGCCUUCUUCAUACACGCGGCAUGGCUGCAUCAGGCUUGCGCCCAUUGUGCAAUAUUCCCCACUGCUGCCUCCCGUAGGAGUCUGGACCGUGUCUCAGUUCCAGUGUGGCUGGUCAUCCUCUCAGACCAGCUAGGGAUCGUCGCCUUGGUGAGCCGUUACCUCACCAACAAGCUAAUCCCAUCUGGGCACAUCUGAUGGCAAGAGGCCCGAAGGUCCCCCUCUUUGGUCUUGCGACGUUAUGCGGUAUUAGCCACCGUUUCCAGUAGUUAUCCCCCUCCAUCAGGCANNNNNNNNNNNNNNNNNNNNCCCGUCCGCCACUCGUCAGCAAAGCAGCAAGCUGCUUCCUGUUACCGUUCGACUUGCAUGUGUUAGGCCUGCCGCCAGCGUUCAAUCUGAGCCAUGAUCAAACUCUUCAAUUUAAAAGUUUGAUGCUCAAUGAAUUAAACUUCGUAAUGAAUUACGUGUUCACUCUUGAGACUUGGUAUUCAUUUUUCGU
rnacentral:rRNA from 1 species